CGUGGCCGCAUCUACCAUGCAGUCGAGCGGUACAGAGAGAAGCUUGCUUCUCUGCUGACGAGCGGCGGCACGGGUGAGUAAUGCCUGGGAAAUUGCCCUGAUGUGGGGGAUAACCAUUGGAAACGAUGGCUAAUACCGCAUGAUGCCCUUGCUUAUAAUGAGCGGGGGCCAAAGAGGGGGACCUUCGGGCCUCUCGCGUCAGGAUAUGCCCAGGUGGGAUUAGCUAGUUGGUGAGGUAAGGGCUCACCAAGGCGACGAUCCCUAGCUGGUCUGAGAGGAUGAUCAGCCACACUGGAACUGAGACACGGUCCAGACUCCUACGGGAGGCAGCAGUGGGGAAUAUUGCACAAUGGGCGCAAGCCUGAUGCAGCCAUGCCGCGUGUAUGAAGAAGGCCUUCGGGUUGUAAAGUACUUUCAGUCGUGAGGAAGGGGAUAUCGUUAAUAGCGGUAUGCUUUGACGUUAGCGACAGAAGAAGCACCGGCUAACUCCGUGCCAGCAGCCGCGGUAAUACGGAGGGUGCGAGCGUUAAUCGGAAUUACUGGGCGUAAAGCGCAUGCAGGUGGUUUGUUAAGUCAGAUGUGAAAGCCCGGGGCUCAACCUCGGAGUUGCAUUUGAAACUGGCAGGCUAGAGUACUGUAGAGGGGGGUAGAAUUUCAGGUGUAGCGGUGAAAUGCGUAGAGAUCUGAAGGAAUACCAGUGGCGAAGGCGGCCCCCUGGACAGAUACUGACACUCAGAUGCG
rnacentral:rRNA from 1 species